UUACCCCCGAAGAACCUUACCUAAGCUUGACAUCCUUUUGACCGAUGCCUAAUCGCAUCUUUCCCUUCGGGGACAGAAGUGACAGGUGGUGCAUGGUUGUCGUCAGCUCGUGUCGUGAGAUGUUGGGUUAAGUCCCGCAACGAGCGCAACCCUUGCCUUUAGUUGCCAGCAUUAAGUUGGGCACUCUAGAGGGACUGCCAGGGAUAACCUGGAGGAAGGUGGGGAUGACGUCAAAUCAUCAUGCCCCUUAUGCUUAGGGCUACACACGUGCUACAAUGGGUGGUACAGAGGGCAGCCAAGUCGUGAGGCCGAGCUAAUCCCUUAAAGCCAUUCUCAGUUCGGAUUGUAGGCUGAAACUCGCCUACAUGAAGCUGGAGUUAUAGUAAUCGCAGAUCAUGAUGUNACUGUCGUGAAUC
rnacentral:rRNA from 1 species